GACGAACGCUGGCGGCGUGCCUAAUACAUGCAAGUAGAACGCUGAAGCUUGGUGCUUGCACCGAGCGGAUGAGUUGCGAACGGGUGAGUAACGCGUAGGUAACCUGCCUGGUAGCGGGGGAUAACUAUUGGAAACGAUAGCUAAUACCGCAUAAAAUGGAUUAUCGCAUGAUAAUCGAUUGAAAGGUGCAAAUGCAUCACUACCAGAUGGACCUGCGUUGUAUUAGCUAGUUGGUGGGGUAACGGCUCACCAAGGCGACGAUACAUAGCCGACCUGAGAGGGUGAUCGGCCACACUGGGACUGAGACACGGCCCAGACUCCUACGGGAGGCAGCAGUAGGGAAUCUUCGGCAAUGGACGGAAGUCUGACCGAGCAACGCCGCGUGAGUGAAGAAGGUUUUCGGAUCGUAAAGCUCUGUUGUAAGAGAAGAACGAGUGUGAGAGUGGAAAGUUCACACUGUGACGGUAUCUACCAG
rnacentral:rRNA from 1 species